UAUACUUAGGGACGCUGGGAAUCAGAAAGCAGAUUGUUGUCAGAGAUGGACUUGGAGUACUCCUGAGUGAGACGCCCGCUGCCCAUUUGGAGGCUGCAAAUCUCUGUCUGACUCUGCUCCCUACAGUGUGGAUGGUGAGUCGCGGUAUCCGGCAGGAGGGCUGGUGUGACGUACUUAAGGCUUUUCAGCUCACAGGGAAAUUCAGUGAGACUUCCGGAAGCUUUCUCUGUUGGUUCCAAGUUCCGGCCUCUGCCUUGUAUUGUGAAAAAGAAGAAAUCAGUAGAAGGAGGGUCAGAUUGGAGGGGGUUCUCUGGCCUCUGCUGCAGCCACCGCCCCACAUUCAUCCUAACAACCUUGGGAAGAAAACCAGAAAAAUACAGUUACCAGAAAAGGUAGAAACCAUCUCAGACACAGGGGGAAGAUAGAAUCUCCUAGAGCUCCAUGAGGCGUGAGAACCUUGCUUCUGGGGCAGCAUUGCUGAGGCGGGGCAAUGACCAGACGUUGGACCUUCAUGGAGCGACUCGGUCAAAGGUUGAACCUUUUGAGAGGAGCUUUAACUGAUAAUUCUGACUGGCUGAAAAGCACUGCCCUAAGGCAUUUCUGGAGUUAAUGGACUGCGUAUUCCCCAUUUUCCAGCAACAAUAUGGCAUGUGUGGAGUUAAUGGAAUGCUAAUUGCCCUUUUUCCAAGGAUCGUACCGGCAUGUGUGGAGUUAAUGGAA